UACAGAGGUCUCAAGCGUUGUUCGGAUUCAUUGGGCGUAAAGGGUGCGUAGGCGGCGCGGUAAGUCGGGUGUGAAAUCUCGGGGCUUAACUCCGAAACUGCAUUCGAUACUGCCGUGCUUGAGGACUGGAGAGGAGACUGGAAUUUACGGUGUAGCGGUGAAAUGCGUAGAUAUCAGGAGGAACACCGAUGGCGAAGGCAGGUCUCUGGGCCAUAACUGACGCUGAGAAGCGAAAGCAUGGGGAGCGAACAGG
rnacentral:rRNA from 1 species